rnacentral:rRNA from 1 species
CAGCCGCCGCGGGAAUACGAAGGGGGCUAGCGUUGCUCGGAAUGACUGGGCGUAAAGGGCGCGUAGGCGGAUUGCGCAGUCAGAUGUGAAAUUCCUGGGCUUAACCUGGGGGCUGCAUUUGAGACGCGUAGUCUAGAGUGUGAAAGAGGGUCGUGGAAUUCCCAGUGUAGAGGUGAAAUUCGUAGAUAUUGGGAAGAACACCGGUGGCGAAGGCGGCGACCUGGUUCAUAACUGACGCUGAGGCGCGAAAGCGUGGGGAGCAAACAGGAUUAGAUACCCGCGUAGUCCCUGUCUCUUAUAC